GGUAGCCUAAGUCAGUUGGGGUUUUCCAACUGCCAACAGACUCCUGGAGGAUUUUUUCCCCUAGGAGGAGGUUGGUGUUUCUGUACCCUGGAACACUGAAAAAACCCAGUGGCAGACACAUUGAGUUUAAGAUAUCUACUGGGCAUCAAAUUGGAGAUUUCUGAAAGAUCAUUGACAAUACAAGACUGAAGAUCAACAGAGAGGUUUGGACAGGAUAGAUAAAUUUGAGAAUCAUCAGCACAGGGAUGGCAAUUAAAUCCAUGGAAGCUGAUGAGUUCACCAAGUGAAGUAAUAUAGAGGAAGAAGAGAGGAGCGUAUAGAACUCUGUGAAGACCUACAUUUAGAGAGUGUGAUUUGAAGAGGAUUCAGCAAAGAAAAUUCAGAAGGAGGGAAGACAAAAUAGGGAAGAGAAGACUCAACAAAAAGCAGUCCCCCAAAACCUAUGAAGAAUAGAACAUCAAGGAGCAGAGGGUGAUGAAGAGUGUCAAAAGCUGCAAAGAGGUAAAGAAGAGAGAGGCUUGGGAAAAGGCUAUUUGAUUUGUCAAGAAAUGACAAAUCUUAUUCUUAAUUUAACUUCAAAGUCACAAAUUCAAAUACUACUUCACUUCUUUCAUGAAGUCUUCCAUGAAUUCUCUCAUGCUACCCUGAAAUGAUCCCUCCCUUCACUGCACUCUCAAGACCAUUUUGUAUGUACUCUAUGCAUUUUUGAAUAUUUUUUGCAUUAUAUUUGGAUAAAAGCACUUUUUCUUC